rnacentral:rRNA from 1 species
UAUGUGAUCGUCUCUCGCAUAUCAAUAAGCGGAGGAAAAGAAACUAACAAGGAUUCCCCUAGUAACGGCGAGUGAGGCGGGAAGAGCUCAAAUUUGAAAUCUUAAAGGGUUUCCCUUUACGAAUUGUAGUUUAAAGAAGUGUUUUCUGUUGAGGUUUUGGUAAAAGUUCUUUGGAAUAUGACAUCAUAGAGGGUGAGAAUCCCGUAUUUGACCUUUACUUUCAACUUUGUGAUACACUUUCAAAGAGUCGGAUUGUUUGGGAAUGCAGUCCAAAAUGGGUGGUAAAUUUCAUCUAAAGCUAAAUAUUGGCGAGAGACCGAUAGCGAACAAGUACCGUGAGGGAAAGAUGAAAAGAACUUUGAAAAGAGAGUUAAACAGUACGUGAAAUUGUCAAAAGGGAAGCGUUUGACACCAGUGUUGUUUUUCUGAAAAUCAAUUAAAGAACUGUUUAUGCUAAGUUGUUUAGACUUUAUCAGCUAACUGUUUAGUUUUGAGCUUUUCUUUAAUGCACUUUUCAGUUAACAAGUCAACAUCAAUUUCUUUUGCUGUAAAAAAGCUUGAGGAAGGUGGCUUGAGAUUCGUCUUAAGUGUUUAUAGCCUCUUGCCUAUGCAGUCGGAGAGAUUGAGGUCUGCAGCGUAGAUCCUUCGGGGCUAAAUGCAUUUGUGCUAAGUUAUAGCAUUUUAUAGACAACUUGUUGACUAUGAUUUGUCUUGUAGCUUACUCGCUUAUGUUAUUUUACCUACGCUUAGGAUGUUGACUGAUAUGUAGUCGUA